rnacentral:rRNA from 1 species
UGUGUAGGCGGUUGCUUAAGUUUGGUGUGAAAUCUCCCGGCUCAACUGGGGGGGUGCGCCGAAUACUGAGUGACUAGAGUGCGGGAGAGGAGAGUGGAAUUCCUGGUGUAGCGGUGAAAUGCGUAGAUAUCAGGAGGAACACCGGUGGUGUAGACGGCUCUCUGGACCGUAACUGACGCUGAGACACGAAAGCGUGGGUAGCAAACAGGAUUAGAUACCCUGGUAGUCCACGCCCUAAACGAUGCAUAUUUGGUGUGGGCAGUUCAGUCUGUCCGUGCCGGAGCUAACGCGUUAAAUAUGCCGCCUGGGGAGUACAGUCGCAAGGCUGAA